rnacentral:rRNA from 1 species
UAGGGAAUCUUCCGCAAUGGGCGAAAGCCUGACGGAGCAACGCCGCGUGAGUGAUGAAGGUCUUCGGAUCGUAAAACUCUGUUAUUAGGGAAGAACAAAUGUGUAAGUAACUAUGCACGUCUUGACGGUACCUAAUCAGAAAGCCACGGCUAACUACGUGCCAGCAGCCGCGGUAAUACGUAGGUGGCAAGCGUUAUCCGGAAUUAUUGGGCGUAAAGCGCGCGUAGGCGGUUUUUUAAGUCUGAUGUGAAAGCCCACGGCUCAACCGUGGAGGGUCAUUGGAAACUGGAAAACUUGAGUGCAGAAGAGGAAAGUGGAAUUCCAUGUGUAGCGGUGAAAUGCGCAGAGAUAUGGAGGAACACCAGUGGCGAAGGCGACUUUCUGGUCUGUAACUGACGCUGAUGUGCGAAAGCGUGGGGAUUAAACAGG